rnacentral:rRNA from 1 species
UACGGAGGGAGCUAGCGUUGUUCGGAAUUACUGGGCGUAAAGCGCGCGUAGGCGGCUUUGUAAGUUAGAGGUGAAAGCCCGGGGCUCAACUCCGGAACUGCCUUUAAGACUGCAUCGCUUGAAUCCGGGAGAGGUGAGUGGAAUUCCGAGUGUAGAGGUGAAAUUCGUAGAUAUUCGCAAGAACACCAGUGGCGAAGGCGGCUCACUGGCCCGGUACUGACGCUGAGGCGCGAAAGCGUGGGGAGCAAACAGG